rnacentral:rRNA from 1 species
UACGAGGGGGGCGAGCGUUGUUCGGAAUUAUUGGGCGUAAAGGGUGCGUAGGCGGUUUGGUAAGUCUUAUGUGAAAUCUAUGGGCUCAACUCAUAGUCUGCAUGAGAAACUGCCGGGCUUGAGUAUGGGAGAGGUGAGUGGAAUUCCUGGUGUAGCGGUGAAAUGCGUAGAUAUCAGGAGGAACACCUGUGGCGAAAGCGGCUCACUGGGCCUUACCUGACGCUGAGGAGCGAAAGCGUGGGGAGCGAACAGG